rnacentral:rRNA from 1 species
UGGGGGAUAUUGCACAAUGGGCGAAAGCCUGAUGCAGCGACGCCGCGUGGGGGACGAAGGCUUUCGGUUUGUAAACCUCUUUCGCUAUCGAACAAGGCCCGCUUAGGGUGGGUUGAGGGUAGGUGGAGAAGAAGCGCCGGCUAACUACGUGCCAGCAGCCGCGGUAAUACGUAGGUCGCGAGCGUUUUCCGGAAUUAUUGGGCGUAAAGGGCUUGUAGGCGGCUUGUUGCGCCUGCUGUGAAAACGCGGGGCUUAACUUCGCGCGUGCCUUGGGUACGGGCAGGCUUGAGUGUGGUAGGGGUGACUGGAAUUCCAGGUGUAGCGGUGGAAUGCGCAGAUAUCUGGAGGAACACCGAUGGCGAAGGCAGGUCACUGGGCCAUUACUGACGCUGAGGAGCGAAAGCAUGGGUAGCGAACAG